rnacentral:lncRNA from 1 species
UUCAAGCAAGUGCGCCGUGUUUUAAAAUGUAAACAGCGGAGCGGUCAGUACAGAAAACUUAGCAAGUACGGACAAAUCCCACCUGUUUCCAAUAUCCUAAGACUAGUGUUGAUGCGCGUUUCUUUCCAAUGUUCUUAAUUUUAAUUAAAAAUUUAAAUUAUUAAAGAUUUCACACAUUCAAAAGAAGUUACGUAACAAACACCCAUGUACCACCCUCCCCCAUUUGCCUCACUUCUCUCUCCUUUCUGUUUUGGUGAGGAAGAUUGGCCCUGAGCUAACAUCUGUGACAGUCUUCCUCCACUCUGUAUAGGGAUGCCACCACAGCGUGGGUUGAUGAGCGGUGGGUGUGUCCGCACCAGGGACCUGAACCAGCGAACCCUGGGCGGCUGAAGAGGAGCGUGGGAACAUAACCACCCUGCCGCCGGGAUGGCCCCAUCGCGUCUGGCUUGCUUGAAAUAGGCUUCCUGAUUUGGCUCUGAUUGAGGGGACGUGGCUUGAAUACCGGCUCCAACAUCUUCUCGCUGUGUGACUGAACGGGGCAAGUUAUUUAAACUCUCUGCACCCCAUAAAGUAGAACCAAACGUCCCACCGAGAAGACUUCCGGCACAUCGCAUCGCGUGCUUCCAUUUUCUGCCCAGUGGAGUCCACCUCCCCAAAACAGAGCCCCGAGUCAACACUUUGAUCCAGGUGGACGGCAGCUUCGAGGACACCCUGGAGAUCACCACCUACAGAGCGAAGCUACUCAGGGAAGUGACACAAUGGAUUAUCCAAGGGUUGGUCAAGUGGCACCGAUGCCACCAGGCCCGAAGCAAGAGGCUUGGGUGCGGGGGACAGGGCCUUUGUACAAGCAGGCUCCAGUGGGAGGGCAGGUUUGUUCCUCCCCCUCAGAACUCUUCCACAAAAACUGGAACCCUGACU